AUUGAACGCUGGCGGCAGGCCUAACACAUGCAAGUCGAGCGAGCGGCGGACGGGUGAGUAAUGUCUGGGAAACUGCCUGAUGGAGGGGGAUAACUACUGGAAACGGUAGCUAAUACCGCAUACCAUCAGAUGUGCCCAGAUUGGAUUAGCUAGUAGGUGGGGUAACGGCUAACCUAGGCGACGGUCCCUAGCUGGACUUCAAGGCUGACCAGCCACACUGGAAUGGAGAAACGGUCCAUACUCGUACGGUCGGCAGCAGUGGGGAAUUUUGCCAUAUGGGCGCAAGCCUGAUGCAGCCAUGCCGCGUGUGUGAAGAAGGCCUUCGUGUUGUAAAGCACUUUCAGCGGGGAGGCGUUACCCGCAGAAGAAGCACCGGCUAACUCCGUGCCAGCAGCCGCGGUAAUUC
rnacentral:rRNA from 1 species